rnacentral:rRNA from 1 species
CUUUGACUUAGUGGCGGACGGGUGAGUAACGCGUGAGUAACCUGCCCUGGAGUGGGGGACAACAGUUGGAAACGACUGCUAAUACCGCAUAAGCCCACGGAUCCGCAUGGAUCUGCGGGAAAAGGAUUUAUUCGCUUCAGGAUGGACUCGCGUCCAAUUAGCUAGUUGGUGAGGUAACGGCCCACCAAGGCGACGAUUGGUAGCCGGACUGAGAGGUUGACCGGCCACAUUGGGACUGAGACACGGCCCAGACUCCUACGGGAGGCAGUG